CAUGAAAGUCAAGUUUACAUGUUACAAAAACAGGAAGACGUUUCGACUAAUUUGCAUACGCAUUUAGUGCAUGCGCAGAAGUUUUUUACUCGUGUCGCUUCCGACAAGAAAAUAAAAUAAAAAUUAAUUACACAAAUAGAGCUGUUUUAACAUAGUUCUUUACGAUUGAUAUUUUUACUAAAAUGGGAACGAGCUAGCCGACGUCAAAAUAUUCUAAAAAUUCCUCUACUUCAGAUAAACUGAUGUUAUUCCCGAUUGAUAGUGUCGAAAAUUUACAUAGAAUGUAUGGUCACAAGGGACAACACAUUUUCACACCUUUAAAGCUUAAAAAAGUCCUGAUUCCUUUCAACGAAACGCGUUCAAAUUUCACAGACAUACUUAUAAUGAGGUGCUUUAUCAAUUGACAAAACAAUAGAGUGCAAACAUUAAAGUCCGUGAAACACUAAUUACUAAAUAGUGCUAAUUAAACAAUAGAUAACAAUAGAAUUUGCAUAAGAUUGCACUAUUUAGUAUCACUAAAGUUUCACGGUUAUAUUGUUUGCACUCUAUCAAUUUUUUUCUAUUUAGAUUAAAAUUGAAAACUUACCCCAGUCUGUUGCUAGUUUCUAAAGUGCCCCAUUGAUUUGUGUUUCAAGUGAUUCGACCAAUCACGUCCCAGCUGGAGAUGGUUAACAUUACACCGACUCAAGUGAUUCGACCAAUCACAUCCCAGCUGGAGAUGGWUAACAUUACACCGACUCAAGUGAUUCGACCAAUCACAUCCCAGCUGGAGAUGGGSGACAUUACACCGACAAGGCAGUUGCUGAUUGGCUGUUCAUGAUCAUUGGACUUUGCGCCUUCAAAGUAGUGAACUUUUAAAAGAUGAAAGGCAAGGUGUUCUUUUUGGUGGCGAUAGUUAUUUCGAUGGUUGUUGGUUCAGCGAAGUCGGCAAACGAAGAAAUGAAUUCAAAACUGAAGAAGGGAUGCUGCACUGUGUGUAGGCCUUGGUGCAGUUGUUGUUUAGCAAAGAAACGUGGCAUUUCAAUCGUUUCAAAAUUCAACGAUGCAACCGAACAACAAAAGCAAGUCGAGAGGGUGCUUCGCAGCCGUGUGCUGGAGCACGACCGUGCCAAGCGUUUUAAAUAAAGUACAUGGGUCCCCACCUUGGUUAAAGAGUAAAAGAUAAGAAUAAAAAUUAAUGCAAUAUCUAAAGAGAAGGGUAUAUAAUGGUUUUAAAGGUAACAUCUACUUUCUGUAAAAUGUCAUUCUAUAAAAACUGAAAGAAAAUAAAGACAUAAAGCACUUAA